rnacentral:rRNA from 1 species
CCUACGGGAGGCAGCAGUGGGGAAUAUUGGACAAUGGGCGAAAGCCUGAUCCAGCCAUGCCGCGUGUGUGAAGAAGGCCUUCGGGUUGUAAAGCACUUUCAGUGGGGAAGAAAGCCUUGGGGCUAAUACCCUCGAGGAAGGACAUCACCCACAGAAGAAGCACCGGCUAACUCCGUGCCAGCAGCCGCGGUAAUACGGAGGGUGCGAGCGUUAAUCGGAAUUACUGGGCGUAAAGCGCGCGUAGGCGGUCUGAUAAGCCGGUUGUGAAAGCCCCGGGCUCAACCUGGGAACGGCAUCCGGAACUGUCAGGCUAGAGUGCAGGAGAGGAAGGUAGAAUUCCCGGUGUAGCGGUGAAAUGCGUAGAGAUCGGGAGGAAUACCAGUGGCGAAGGCGGCCUUCUGGACUGACACUGACGCUGAGGUGCGAAAGCGUGGGUAGCAAACAGGACUAGAUACCCCAGUAGUC